rnacentral:lncRNA from 1 species
GGGGGGGGGGCAGCUGGCUGAUCAGAGCCCCCUUGCCUGUCUGCUAUCUUUCAUGCUGACCUCACAGACCCUUGGGUCUCAGGAUCCCUAUCCCUGCCACAGGCUAGUCACCCAAGGUCACUGCUGUUGCUCUUGCCAGAAGCCUCUGAGUGUUUUUGAGUGUUUUCAAGGUCAGACUGAAGGGUUCAUGUCCAGGCCCCGCCAGUCCCUCCCUUUGUGGUCUUUGGCCAGGUGCCAGACCCCUCUGAACUUGUUUCCCCAUCUUUAAAAUGUGGUUCGUAAUUGCUCUUACCUCUUGGGGUCUGUGUCAGGGUUUGAUGACAAGCCCUGCAAAUCACCACGUACUCGGUGCUUGCUGCCAUGAGCCUGUCACUGUCACCUCCACCCAUGACAAAAGUAUUAAAGACGAUAAAAAAAUCAUUUUGACCCCAAAAGUGUGGCCUAAUUAUUUUAAAGCAGAUGAUCCAUUUGCUUGGAGACUGGCAGAUCAGCAAACCAGUGGCUUGACUGAUGACUUACACCCCUUAUACCCGUUGUAGUCGUAUUAGUUUCUUCUUGCUGCUGUGACACAUUAGCACAAACUCAGCAGCUAAACUCCAGGCAUUUAUUCUCUUACAUUUGUGCAGGAUAGAAGUCUGACACGGGCCUCACUGGGCUGGAAUUGAGGUGUUAGCUGGGCUGCAUUCCCUCUGGAAGCUCCAGGGAGAAUCUCUUUCCCUGCCUUUCUAGCUGCCCCAUUCCUUGGCCGUGGCCCCAGCGAGCAAGGUGCCGUUCUCUUUACUGAAUGUCUUCCUGCGACACUCCUCUUCUGCCACCUCCUUCCACCUUUCAGGCCCCUUGUGCUUCCAUUGGCCCACCUCGAUAAUCCAAGGUCAUUGCUCUAAGUUCAGCUGAUAGGCAACCUUAAUUUCACCUGCAACCGGAAUCCCUUUUGCCGCCUGACCUGUAUUCGCAGGUUCCGAGGACCAGGACUUGGACGCCUUUGGAAGUGGGAUUGUUCUGCCCGCCCUGCUGAGCUGGCAUCUUGCUGCUCAGACACAGUAAUACAAAUCCAGUGCUGCCUUCGUGCUUCGUCCUAACUUCCCUCCCUGCCUCCAAGGGUGCGUAGAGAGGAUAGAUGGUACCCAAAGUGAGGACACUUGGUUGGUAGAAACAGUGUUUAUAUAGGUAUAACCUUGGUUGGGAAGAAAGGAAAAAAACAAAAACAAAUGAAAGAUGUAAGAGGAGGCAGUAGACAAGGAGGCAAUAGCCUUUAUUUGAGGAGCAGAUAAUGAAUAAAGGUCCCUGAACGAUCACAGGGGCCAGAGCAGUACCAGGGACAGAACACUGCCCUGCCAUGUGGAGCCUGAUCCUCCUGACGCAAUCAGAGCCUCACUAGACUGUUCUGCCGGGUUCUGAGCUUCCGACCUUAAUAGAGACCAGAGAGCUUAACGGGGGCUCAGAAGAGAAAUCUCUGAUUGGCUGUCGUGUGAAGUGUUGCUUACCUGCUUGAAACGUUAAAUAUAAGACUUGCCCAUUCGUUCGGCACACAGUUAUCUCACCUCCCAGGAAAGGGUGUUUAAUGUAUAGGGAGACAGGGAUAAAUAAUUCUGUCUGCCCCGAAGGCCCUGGAGACCCAUCGCCUGCAGGGGCAGGUUCUGAAGUCAGCAUAUAAGCCGGAAGUGGAGCAUCGUCCGUGACCCUCAGAGAUCCUUGCAGACUUCAUGCCCUUGGCAGAUCAGAGCCAUGCAGAACCCAGAUGCCAGCUUCUUGUAUUUCCGUGGGAAGCAGAGGCCCAUUCCUAUCCAGGCCCCUCGAGUUUUCCACCACCCUUGUCCUUCGUUGUGUGUGCUUCAUGUCCUUGUCACUAGGUGGCCGUUCGUUGGUGGGUGUGAGGGUUGGAAUGUGGGAGCUGGCAAACAGCCUUUUAUCCGAUGGUACUGCCCACCAGUACGCCGUCCACUCUCCUGCUUCUAAGGGAAAAGAGAGUGCGUAGUGAUGCCGUUGCUGCAUUCGUCUUCGUCCCGGUGAGGCCUUCAAGUUUCCUCUGUUGUUGUUUGGAUGUGCACCUCCAUCUCCACCCCAGAAAGCAAAGCGAGCAAGGCGUUACUUCCAGGCCAGGGCCUCCCCUAACGCUGCAUGUGCUUGGCCUGCGUGGGCCAGGACGUGGAGACGCACUUCCGAGUUACGUGCCGUCUGUGGAGACUGACAUUUAUCCGCGAGGGUUGCAGAGUCUAAUUGUUUUUAAACUGCCACUUUUGUUUGUUAAAGAUACAGAUGUCUGGCCAUGGAGGAAAGCAAAGGGAAUUUAUCGUUACAAUUAGAUGCCUCACAAUUUGAAAACUUAUCACUUAAAUUGGUGAAGUGUCACUUUUAUGCAUCCUGAUGUUUAGAAGCCCUGGGAGCCCAGGAUUAAACUCAUAGACCCUUUAACAAGAGCCUGGCGAGAUGAAGGAAGUCGCACUUGACGAGACAUUGAGACAAACUGGAUGGGACUGUCCACUUGCCUCCUACGUGGUAGGACAGGUGAAGGGAAGUGGACCACAGCUUUAUUUUUUUGUAUAACUCUUCAAUUAAGGGGAACGGAGUUAAAAUCACUGGAUGUGGAGUUAGUUAAUACGAAUCUUGACGGACAUGAGGUUUUAUUCUCUGUGUUAAUUUGUGCUGUCUCCUAUUCCCUGGGUGGCUGAGAACAAGUCAUAGGUGACGUUUCUUAUUUAUGGGCAUUAAGCAAUAUCUUUAAAAUGUAAAAUAAAGCCGACAAAAUGCACAGCCUGAUAACAACAACAAAUCUAAUCUAAAGUGACACAGGGAGACUCUUGGAGACGUUUUUCUCUUUAAUGUAACAUGACUUUAAAUUGAUGCAGCCCCACAGUGAUUGAAAAACUCUCAGAGCUUGUCUCCUAUGAUUACAUUUCUGAUCUGUACAACUUAAUUUUUUAACUCGGUGAGUCUCCGUUUUGCGAAUGAGCAGUUUUUCUCUUGCCCGCUCUCACUUUAUUUGGGAAGAGAGUUUAUUUGGCAGCCAGGCGGAUGGAGCUCUUUUACCACGGGAAAUCAUGAGAAACCCAACAACAACGAAGUCCGAGGAAUGCUCCCGCCAAGAACGUGUGCCUUUUCUCGUGUAUUUUCUCUUCUUUUCUCUUGACAUUGGUGAUGUUCUCACUUAUUUGUGCUUAUGCUAAGAACCCAUUAAUCGCAUCCUUUAUUAUGCUUUAAUUGACGUGGAAUUGAUUUAUAGUGUGUUUGUUUCAGGUGUACAGCAAAGUGAUUCAGUUACCUCCUUUUUCAGAUUCAUCUGCAUUUUAGGUUAUUACAGGAUACUGGCCAUAGUUCCCGGUGCUCUACAGUAGGUCCUUGUUGUUUAUCUCGUUUAUCCAUAGUAGCGAGCAUCUGUUCAUCUCAGACUCUCUCCCCCACUGUACACGUUAAUUGGCUAAAUGAUACAGUCUGGGAACUGUAUCUCGGCAAAGCUCGAAUAUGUUUUUUAAGCGUCUCUGGAAUCAUUGUCAGUAAGUUACUUUGCAAAGUGUGUUUUGAUGAAUUCAAAAUUAAUUUAAAGUGGAUUAUACGUCUCUGACAUGUCCGGCAGUGCCUGGUCAUUGCUCAUGUUUAUUCAGGACACACACUCACAUCCUUUAUCCGGUGGUGUCUAGAAGGUGUUGGGAUGUGGAGUCGUGAGUUCCAUUUCUUGGGCCUCCUGUGGGAUGUUGAUGAAUCUGACAUGGUCCGAAGGCCAUUCUCGUCAUGGAUGCUUCCACUUCAGCACAAUAAAUUAACUUGCAUCGUUCUGACCUCACUUAGCUGUGCAUACACUUCUCACCUUCCUCCAAAACCUUUCUUUCAGAGCCCACUUGUUUAUUCAGCUUGGAUAAUUGCUACAGUGUAAAACAAACAUCUGACGAACUUUUUUUUUUUUUUUUUGGUCCUAACUGUGUUACCGAAUGACUGGUACUCCAUAAUCCCCAAAGGCCUCCUGACUCUUCUUUUGCUUUUUUUCAACAGUAUCCUUUCAGACCCUACCUAGAAAAAUCAAAGCUUUCUGUGUUAGUUUAUCAUCUUUUUUAACUCGGCUGUCUCAGCUUGGGUAUUUAAUCUUUGACAUGGCUAUUGAUAAUUGUAACUCUUUUAUUUGAAAUAUGCUUAGUGUUGUCUUAUGUAAGACAAGAAAUUCAGGGACAAGAAAACCAUUUACACCUUCUCUUACAUAACAAGCAGUUUCCAGGAGGUGCUGUGACAAGGAUCAAGAAGAAUAAGGGACCUUCUGGCAGUUCUGAGCUCGAAUGCAUGUGAUGAUGAUGUGUCUGGAAUUACAGGGUAGGGGACACUGUUCUUACAGGUAAACGUGCAUAUACUUUGUUCCCUUCAUCUGGUGUACACUCUAGUUAAUUGCUUUUUGGGCUCAUUUUAAAAUUAAGAUUCACAUCAUCCAUUGAGGAGCUUGAGUUUAUGCUUGAAGCAAGAAACCCUUAGUCGAAAUUUUUAACUAUUAGAGCCACAUAUGUUUGAAUGCUGUGAUUUCAUUUUCUCUUAUCCAAAGGUACCCUAUACCUUUAAGGAGGUGAAUCCUGGAGUCGGUUUUAUUAUAUAUCUCACGACAGAGUUAAGCUUGGUUCAUUUGGAUUUGAAAAAUCUCCAGAGCUUUGAGAAUGACUUUGAAACACUCUUUACUGUUGGAGCUUAGAGGAAAUAAAUCUCGACUGUCCUCUCUAUUAAUUCACCUGCUUGGAAAGUUAGAGAUUAAAGGGUUUAGCGGGGUUUUUAUAUUUCCUAUAAUUUCUGUUUGUAUUGGAGUAAACUCUUCUUUGUGUGGAGUGGUUCAGCUCUCAUGAAACAGAGAGAUGCCGCUACCGAGGGGAGAAGAAGGGAAAGUGUGGUGUUAACACAGAAAACUUCUCGUGGCUGUUUUCUGGUGUUAGGUGUAAAGGAGCGAGUAAGUUCCUUUAAUUAAGUCUCUUUGAGGGACGCAGUCUCCUCUCUGUAUCGCUGGUGAACUCUGAGAGCACAGACUUGGAGCUUUUCCUUUUGAAAGAAGGCUCUUUGUUUUUCUUCAGAAGUCAUUUUUAGCAACACGAGGGCAGAAAAAGAGAAGUCGAUAAGGAAAUGAAUCACGCGAUGGAAGCAGAACCAGCAUCCUCCGGUCCCGCUCCUGUUCUGCUCUCCAGAACCGCGGCUGCUCAUUAAUGACCCGAGAGCUGACGCUGGGUGGUGAGAUGAAGCCGCAGCGCACACGUUGGGGUGUGACUGAUGGCGUGGUUAUUACCAUCCAUUCAUGUGUAAUCCUGCAUCGGGAAGGUUUGUAAUUUGUUUUUGACACAUUUCUCUCCGAUUUCAUACAUUCCCGUGUAUCGCUCUCACCUUCCCCCAGAAGCCUAUUUCCAAGGCAGACUUUGUUUAUUCACUUGAGGUAAUUUAUAGGCCACUGCUUAUUUUCCUUAAUACAUAAUCUCUUCCCUUAAUGCUCCCUCUGUCUUCCAAGCUGACAACUUCGAGAACUAAAGCCACAGGGCUGGAGCUGGCAACUUCUGCCAAGGAAGGAAAGCCAGGCCGGGCCUUGAGCUCCUAAAGCGGCCGGUGGAAUUCACUUUAGAUGCAUUCCCUUUGCAGUGGUGAAUGGAGAGUGUUUGCAAAUCACCAAAAAUAUCUUUCUGUGACUUGGAACGAUGGCCUCUUCCCUCUCAGUGGCCACAAUGGCCCCUGGAAAAGAAACUGGCCUGCUCCCAGAGGCCCAGGAAGUGGGGGUGGUGGGGAGGGGGGGGACUGGCCCCUGGGCAGGUCGAGGGAGGCCAGUCCCCAGUUCACUGCCAACAUGCAUUUCUCCAGGGCCAGGGCCCAGCUGGGCCUUGUUAGGAGCAAGAGUUUGGCCGUGACAUCACUUAAUUUAAAAAAAAAAAAAA